rnacentral:rRNA from 1 species
AACGAACGCUGGCGGCAUGCCUAACACAUGCAAGUCGAACGAGAUCCUUCGGGGUCUAGUGGCGCACGGGUGCGUAACGCGUGGGAAUCUGCCCUUAGGUUCGGAAUAACAGUUAGAAAUGACUGCUAAUACCGGAUGAUGACGUUAAGUCCAAAGAUUUAUCGCCUGAGGAUGAGCCCGCGUAGGAUUAGCUAGUUGGUGUGGUAAAGGCGCACCAAGGCGACGAUCCUUAGCUGGUCUGAGCGGAUGAUCAGCCACACUGGGACUGAGACACGGCCCAGACUCCUACGGGAGGCAGCAGUGGGGAAUAUUGGACAAUGGGCGCAAGCCUGAUCCAGCAAUGCCGCGUGAGUGAUGAAGGCCUUAGGGUUGUAAAGCUCUUUUACCCGGGAUGAUAAUGACAGUACCGGGAGAAUAAGCCCCGGCUAACUCCGUG